UGCCAGCAGCCGCGGUAAUACGGAGGGUGCAAACGUUACUCGGAAUCAUUGGGCGUAAAGCGCGCGCAGGCGGCUGAGUCAAGUCGGAUGUGAAAUCCCUGGGCUCAACCCUAGGAUGUGCAUACAAAACUGCCUCGCUUGAAUCUCGGAGGGGGUCAGUGGAAUUCCCGGUGUAGAGGUGAAAUUCGUAGAUAUCGGGAGGAACACCAGUGGCGAAGGCGCUGCCCCUGGACGAUGAUUGACGCUGAGGCGCGAAAAGCGUGGGGAGCAAAACAGGAUUAGAUACCCCCUGGUAGUCCCACGCCCGUAAAACGAAUGAUGUGACUAGUCGCCGUGAUGGACUUGAGCCCCGUCGGUUCCGAAGCUAACGCGUUAAGCACUCCCGCCCUGGGGAGUACCGGCCGCAAGACUAAAACUCAAAGGAAUGACGG
rnacentral:rRNA from 1 species